CCAGACAGAUAUCGAAGAAAUACAAUUGAUCAAUUGAAAACAAAGGUUGUUUUAUUUAAAGUAGUAGAUGCAUGCAUGAUAACAUGCAUGGUUGGUUUUUAGUUUUUGAGACAUAUAAUUCUUAAGUGGCAAUUUCCAAAGCCAUCCUCAAGUAGUCUUUUUCAAUUGCGUGACUUGCAUAUACCUCCAUCAUAAGGAUACCCCUGAGAGACACAAAUACACUCGAUGCCGCCGCAUGAAUUCCCCCUACGUUGUGAACAAGCCGUACCGGCGGUUGGACACAGCCUUGCUUCAAUGUUCAUCGUCUCGACGAUUACUGCAAAUUGCAAAGAAAGUUAAAGUUGGAACCAAUACAUAUCUAUGCAUAUAACGUAUAUAUUUAGGAAAGUUUGGUAUUAAAUUGAGCAUGUAGUAUACUAAUUUUUCAUAACAUAUAAAUAUAUCGGUGAGAAAGAUGAGCGCAAUAUUAAAAAAAAAUAUACAUACAGAAUGUGGUGAGCAUGAAGACAGCCAAAGUAACAAGCUUAACAUAAGUCAUUGUUUGAUCAAAAGAAAUAAUAAGCUAAAA
rnacentral:lncRNA from 1 species